ensembl:lncRNA
GUUUCAACUCAUUUCGGGUCAUCAACAUCCUCCUGUGGAGUUUUAGGCUGAUCCACCACCUUUGUUAUGAUCAUCCUCACCCCAUGAGGUAAGAUCUUGCAUGGGGCAAUUGAUGGUCAUUUUAUAUUUCUUCCAUUUAAGAAAAAUAGCACCAACAGUUGUUACCUUCACAUUAAGCUUCUUCUUGAUGGUGUGGUUGCCUAAUCCAACCAUGUGCAGGUCUACAGUCUUGUCUCUAAUGUAAUUUCACAGCUCUUUGGUCUUUGACAUAGUGGUGAGAACAGUGGCGGUCCUAGCCUGUUUGGCGCCCUGGGUGAACACUGGUAUAUUUAUUUUCUUACUCUUCUUAUAUUUAUUGUUUGUUUACUUGCACUGCUGUAACUGGAGCCUUGUCGUCUUGUCUCUCUAUAUAUAUACUGCACUGUAUGUAGCGGAGAUGACAAUAAAGUUUACUUUGACUUCAGCAGCGAGCAGGCGCACCGAGGGCUCUCACGCUCACUUUUCGGGUAUAGAAUUUCGAAAAAACAUCGGUGCAAAUUAUAAGUCUGUAUCAUGAUGUCUGGUGUUUUUGUGUUUGUUGUGUUUGUUUUUAUUUUGUUUUAUUUUGCGAGUUGGUUAUUAGAUGCCGCCCCGCCCUCUCCUCCCUGUGCAGCAAGCAGCAGGCGCACCUCGCAAACGGAGGGCGCCCUUACUCCCAGCAAAUGGGCGAUAGAAAACCGAUCGAUGCCUAUGCCAUUCACAAUAUGCGCUGGCAUGACGUCGGGGCAGCAUGAGUACGAGCAUUUUUUUUUUUUUUUUGCCGAUGCCCGUGAUGCCGCCCCCCACCACGAUGCCGCCCCGGGCAAACGCCCGUGUCGCCCGUAUCUAAAACCGCUACUGGGUGAGAAAUCCAAAUAGGAGAAAUUGAUUCUGUGGACUGGUAUGCUUUAUGUACAUAAUGAGUUGAGAUCAGGAGUAUCUGUAAUUGAUUGACUGAUUGUAAUCUGCAAUGCCACACACAGCCAAUCUGUGAGAGCUGGAGUUCUGUCUGGGUUGUUGGGGAUCAAAUACUUAUUUCACUCAGUUACAUGCAAAUUAGUUUAUAACUUUUAUGUAAUGUGUUUUUCUUUUGUUUGGUUCAUGUUCUGUUUCUCUCCAUAAAAUAAAAGUAUCAUAAGAACACACUAU